GGAGAUACUGUGCAGCUAGGGAGUGGGAGAGGUAGACGGUACUCGGUAGGAAGGGGUAAAAUCCUUUGAUCUCUUGAUGACCACCUGUGGCGAAGGCGGUCUACUAGAACACGUCCGACGGUGAGGGAUGAAAGCUGGGGGAGCAAACCGGAUUAGAUACCCGGGUAGUCCCAGCUGUAAACAAUGCAAACUCAGUGAUGCAUUGGCUUGUGGCCAGUGCAGUGCCGCAGGGAAGCCGUUAAGUUUGCCGCCUGGGAAGUACGUACGCAAGUAUGAAACUUAAAGGAAUUGGCGGGGGAGCACCACAAGGGGUGAAGCCUGCGGUUCAAUUGGAGUCAACGCCAGAAAUCUUACCCGGAGAGACAGCAGAAUGAAGGUCAAGCUGAAGACUUUACCAGACAAGCUGAGAGGUGGUGCAUGGCCGUCGCCAGCUCGUGCCGUGAGAUGUCCUGUUAAGUCAGGUAACGAGCGAGAUCCCUGCCUCUAGUUGCCACCAUUACUCUCAGGAGUAGUGGGGCGAAUUAGCGGGACCGCCGCAGUUAAUGCGGAGGAAGGAAGGGGCCACGGCAGGUCAGUAUGCCCCGAAACUCUGGGGCCACACGCGGGCUGCAAUGGUAAUUACAAUGGGUUCCAAAUCCGAAAGGAGAAGGUAAUCCUCAAAUGUUACCACAGUUAUGACUGAGGGCUGCAACUCGCCCUCACGAAUAUGGAAUCCCUAGUAACCGCGUGUCAUUACCGCGCGGUGAAUACGUCCCUGCUCCUUGCACUCACCGCCCGU
rnacentral:rRNA from 1 species